GAUGAACGCUGGCGGCGUGCCUAACACAUGCAAGUCGAACGGUGAAGGCGGAGCUUGCUCUGCUGGAUCAGUGGCGAACGGGUGAGCAACACGUGAGCAAUCUGCCACUGACUGAGGGAGAUGCGCUGGAAACGGCGUCUAUUACUGCAUACGAUCUGUGGAGGCAGCUUGAGCAGCCGUAAAGUAUGUCGGUCAGGGAUGGGCUCGCGGCCUAUGAGCUUGAUGGUGAGGUAAUGACUGACCAAGGUGACGACGGGUAGCCUGCCUGGGAGGGUCACCGGCCACACUAGGACUGAGACACGGCCCAGACUCGAACCGUACGCAAGAGAGGGGAAGAUUGCACAGUAGGCUAGAGCCAGAUGCGACAACGCCGCGUGGGGGAAGACGGGCUUCGGGUUGUGAACCUAUUUUAGCUUAACAGAAGCGAAAGUGACGGUACCUGCAGAAAAAGCGCCGGCUAACUACGUG
rnacentral:rRNA from 1 species